UUGAAAAAUUUUUAUAAAAAAAGAAAAAUUAAUUAUUUGUACCUUGUGUAUCAGGGUUUAUUAAUUAAUUAAUAAUUAUUUAUUAAUCUCGAUUUUAUAAGAGUUAAUAAUUUAUUAAAGUUAAUGUAUUAAAAUUAUUUUAAAUAAAUUGUUAGAAAUGAAAUGUUAUUCGUUUAUAAAGGUAUCUAGUUUUUUUAGAAAUAAAUUUAAUUUACUAAUUUUUAAUUUAUUUAUUAAUUUAUUAAUAAAUAAAUUUAUUAAUUAAAAUAUUUUAAGGGAUAAGCUUUAAAAUAAAAUUGUUAUAAAUUUAAUUAUUUUUUUUUGAAAAAUAUAUGCAUAGAAUUAGCAAUUAUUAUAAAUUUUGUUAAAAAUUAUUUUAUAAUUAUAUUAUUUAUUUAUGUUUUAAUUUUUUUUAUAAAAAUUUUAUUUUUAAUUUUAUUUAAUAAUUAAUAAUGAUAAAAUUAGUAUAUUUUUAUGUUUAAAAUAAUUAUAAUUGAUAAGUUUAUAUAAAGAACUCGGCAAAUAUAUUACUCGCCUGUUUAACAAAAACAUGUCUUUUUGAGUUAUUUUUAAAGUCUAACCUGCCCAAUGAAUAAAAUUUAAUGGCCGCAGUAUUCUGACUGUGCAAAGGUAGCAUAAUCAUUAGUCUUUUAAUUGAAGGCUUGUAUGAAUGGUUGGACGAAGUAUAUUCUGUUUCAUAUAAAUUUAAUUUAGAAUUUUAUUUUUUAGUUAAAAAGCUAAAAUUAAAUUAAAAGACGAGAAGACCCUAUAAAUCUUUAUAAUUUAUUUUAUUUUUAUUUUUUGGAUUAAAUUUUAUUUAAAUAAAAUUAAUUAUUUUAUUGGGGUGAUAUUAAAAUUUAAAUAACUUUUAAUUUUUAAAAACAUUAAUUUAUGAUUUAUUGAUCCAUUAUUAAUGAUUAAAAGAAUAAGUUACUUUAGGGAUAACAGCGUAAUUUUUUUGGAGAGUUCUUAUUGAUAAAAAAGUUUGCGACCUCGAUGUUGGAUUAAGAUAUAAUUUUAGGUGUA
rnacentral:rRNA from 1 species